rnacentral:rRNA from 1 species
UAGAGGGAAUCCCUAGCGUAACAGUGAAAUGUGUAGAUUUUAGGGAGAACACCAGCGGCGAAGGCGCUCUACUGGGCCGAUACUGACACUGAGAGACGAAAGCUAGAGUAGCGAAUAGGAUUAGAUAAAUCCGGGGCGCUAUAAAAAUAAACCCCAAAGUGUCUUCUCUCGCUGCAAGGCAAGAGAAAAACCUAGCUAUAUCGGGGAAACUUCAAC